UGUUCCCGAGUCCUUAUCGACAUAAUAACGAGACUUUUGUAUUUCUUGCAGGUAGCAAGGUAGUUCCUUUCCAGCAAACAGACUGAAUAGGAUUAUCGGUUUUAAAGUAGCGUCAGAAAGUGCAGUUUCAACUACAUAUACGAAAUAUAGAUUUUUAAAAUUGUAUUUCCUACACAUAAUAAUAGCAAAAUCUAAGUUUUCUGUCUAUACGUGAUUCAAGAAGAGAAAGCAACUGCGGCGUGGAUUAGGAGGAUCAGCUGUUUUGUGACGCAGAGAAGAAAAAAUUGUCGUUCCAACAUUAAUUCGAGGCACGCAGAAGUGAAGCAACGAUAUGACCAAAAGAAAAAGAGCAUAAAUGCGUGUUUCAUAAACAGUAACGUCCGUCAGUAACAACUUUCAACGCGAUGCCGAUGCUAAUCUCCAUCAUUCAAUCAUGCAAGAUACGAAGAGCCCAGCGACCUAUUAUAACAAUAGAUCUAGAGAUUAGGGUCGUGAUACGUGCGUAAGGUUGAGCGAUUAUCGCCUGCGGGCCCCAUACCCGGGGAUUGGCCGCCCAGGGUUAGGUUUUUGCCUUGCUUGACCACUUAAAAUACCAGCCAAGUACUCACCCCUAACGAUUCAGGGGCGGAACAAUAGCUAGCUUCUGCGUUGCGCAUGUACAGAGAGGCGGAACCAUCCCUGAUGGCGACGAAUUGGGAAUCCUUCCUGUGAGAAGGUAUGCGGUAACGAAGCACGUGAUAAGGAACAUCAACAGACCUUACGGAAAGUUAUGACGAGAAAGAAGUUACGUCGCGAAGAAGUCGAAAUUCCUCUUAAACACUUAAUGGCGUCCCUAAACAUCUAGCUAAUAUUUCUCAAUAUUUCCAAAUUAUUAUUGAAUUUAUGGUUAGUGAAUACGGGAACAACUAAUUCUGUGAAACGUGGAAACAUCAAAAGAAAAGAAACUGAGUUUUAUUUUACAAUUAAUCGAAAUUAUACAGAUUGAAGAGAUCAAGAGGAGGUUGUAGAUUUAACAUUUGUGGAUAAUAAGUGAAGAACAUCUGAUGAACGCGAUAAAUUAGGAAUGAGCUCUCACGCGCAUGCAAGGACAAUUUGUAGCGGAAGCGCAGUAUCAGGCGCGGUUUCUGCGUUGCAUUUCUUGAGAAGCUAUAGCCUGUUCGCGCCAACUUCAGUUUUGUAAUUUGACAUUUUGUUUAGUUAAUGAGCAAGUGAACCAAUUCAUGGAUAGAUGAAUAUAUUGAUCAACAUGAUUGUUGAAUUAAGGCGAUUUCCACACGGUUUACAACUCCUCAAGUAGCCGUGAUCGUCUAGUGGUUAGGACCCUACGUUGUGGCCGUAGUAACCCAGGUUCGAAUCCUGGUCACGGCAAUGUGCUAUUGACACAUUGUCACGGUAGAGGAAUAAUUAGAGGGGUAAAUGAAAAAGGUAAAAUCAGUCUGGGCAGAAAUAUUUACAAAGGUUAAUUAUAAUAUAGUAUUCAUAGUGAAUCGACAAGGAUUUUGUGAAAAUAUAUAAUACGUUAAAAUCAAUCAUACAUAUCUGUGCAGAUAUGAACCAUACAAUUCCAAAGACUACAACUUUAGAAAUAUCGAGAUUUUAGAAAGUUCGAAUACACCGGAUACUGGAAUCGGCCGAACGCCUUCACCGUUGU